rnacentral:rRNA from 1 species
AUGGGCUCCGAGGGAUCCGCGCCGGUCGUAGUUCCCAGAAACUUUAGACUUUUGGAAGAACUUGAGAGAGGUGAGAAGGGCAUUGGUGAUGGAACUGUGAGCUAUGGGAUGGAUGAUGCUGAUGACAUAUAUAUGCGCUCCUGGACAGGAACUAUUAUCGGUCCACCCAAUACUGUUCACGAGGGACGAAUCUAUCAAUUGAAGUUGUUCUGUGAUACAGAUUAUCCAGACAAACCACCGACUGUCCGGUUCCAGGCUAGGGUCAAUAUGACAUGUGUGAAUCAAGAAACUGGAAUGGUUGAUCCAAGACGAUUUCCUAUGCUUGGAAACUGGAAAAGGGAACAUACAAUGGAGGAUAUCCUCAUCAGCCUUAAAAAGGAGAUGUCAACCCCUCAGAACCGCAGGCUCCACCAGCCUCAUGAAGGCAACGAUGAUCAGAGAGUGGAGCAGAAAGGGCUAGCAGCUAGAUGUGUCGUUAUGUAA